rnacentral:rRNA from 1 species
UACGUAGGGUGCAAGCGUUGUCCGGAAUUAUUGGGCGUAAAGAGCGUGUAGGCGGCCCGAUUAGUCUGCUGUGAAAGUCCAGGGCUCAACCCUGGAAUGCCGGUGGAUACUGUCGGGCUAGAGUCCGGAAGGGGCGAGUGGAAUUCCUGGUGUAGCGGUGAAAUGCGUAGAUAUCGAGAGGAACACCUGCGGCGAAGGCGGGUUGCUGGGCUGACACUGACGCUGAUGCGCGAAAGCCAGGGAGCGAACGGG